rnacentral:rRNA from 1 species
GACACACUGGAACUGAAACACGGUCCAGACUCCUACGGGAGGCAGCAGUGGGGAAUUUUGCGCAGCAUGGGGGACCUGACGCAGCAACGCCGCGUGGAGGAUGAAGUCCCUUGGGACGUAAACUCCUUUCGACCGGGAAGAUACUGACGGUACCGGAUGAAGAAGCACCGGCUAACUCUGUGCCAGCAGCCGCGGUAAUAACAGAGGGUGCGAGCGUUGUUCGGAAUUAUUGGGCGUAAA